CAGUUGUUUAUGCCACGCCCAUUUCAAGAUGGUGUCAGGUCGAGGACUGAACGGAGGGAGAGGGAGGUGCUAUUCAUUUUGGGAUGACUAUAUGAAGUGCAUGAAAGCAAUUGGAGGAGGAGGGAAAAAACUACCACCAAUGGACUCAUGCCAGCUUGAAAAAGAAGACUAUUUAGAGUGUCUACAUCAUAGAAAAAUAGCUAUGAGAAUGCAAGUAAUCGAAGCUCAAAGACAGAAACUCAUCAAAGAAGGAAAAUGGCCUCCAAAAGAGUAACUGGUUUAUCAUGUACUUAUACUAUUAAUAGAACUGGUGAUGUAAUGUUGUUACUAAUAAUAGAUUAUGAUCAGUGUAAAGAUUUAGUUGUGGGUGUGGCAGUAGGUGGAGUUUCAGUUAAUUUAAUUUUAAAAUCAA